rnacentral:rRNA from 1 species
AUUGAACGCUGGCGGCAGGCCUAACACAUGCAAGUCGAGCGGCAGCGGGAAAGUAGCUUGCUACUUUUGCCGGCGAGCGGCGGACGGGUGAGUAAUGCCUGGGGAUCUGCCCAAUCGAGGGGGAUAACUACUGGAAACGGUAGCUAAUACCGCAUACGCCCUACGGGGGAAAGCAGGGGACCUUCGGGCCUUGCGCGAUUGGAUGAACCCAGGUGGGAUUAGCUAGUUGGUGAGGUAAUGGCUCACCAAGGCGACGAUCCCUAGCUGGUCUGAGAGGAUGAUCAGCCACACUGGAACUGAGACACGGUCCAGACUCCUACGGGAGGCAGCAGUGGGGAAUAUUGCACAAUGGGGGAAACCCUGAUGCAGCCAUGCCGCGUGUGUGAAGAAGGCCUUCGGGUUGUAAAGCACUUUCAGCGAGGAGGAAAGGUGGGUAGCUAAUAACC